GGGCUGCAGCUGGCGCAGCAGCUCUCGGGGAUAAACGCGAUUUUCUACUAUUCGACGUCCAUCUUUGAGGGGGCGGGGCUUCAGGACCCGGCUGUCGGCACCAUCGGAACGGGCGUGGUCAACGUGGCGGCCACCGCCCUGUCGGUGGUGCUGGUGGAGUGGGUGGGGUCUGUGGGUGGGCGUGUCCCAG